rnacentral:rRNA from 1 species
CCCAGACUCCUACGGGAGGCAGCAGUGGGGGAUAUUGCACAAUGGGGGGAACCCUGAUGCAGCGACGCCGCGUGGGUGAAGAAGCGCCUCGGCGCGUAAAGCCCUGUCAGCAGGGAAGAAAAUGACGGUACCUGAAGAAGAAGCCCCGGCUAACUACGUGCCAGCAGCCGCGGUAAUACGUAGGGGGCAAGCGUUAUCCGGAUUCACUGGGCGUAAAGGGAGCGCAGGCGGCGCGGCAAGUCUGAUGUGAAAGCCCGGGGCUCAACCCCGGGUCUGCAUUGGAAACUGUCGAGCUAGAGUGUCGGAGGGGUAAGCGGAAUUCCUAGUGUAGCGGUGAAAUGCGUAGAUAUUAGGAGGAACACCAGUGGCGAAGGCGGCUUACUGGACGAUGACUGACGCUGAGGCUCGAAAGCGUGGGGAGCAAACAGGAUUAGAUACCCCAGUA